GAGCCGGGCGGGGACAUUGAGAACUGCUAAUUACUCACCACCGUGGUUCAACUCCACGGCCUGCUCG
rnacentral:tRNA from 1 species